ensembl:misc_RNA 7SK 7SK RNA
UGAUAGGAAGUGGAUCUGCCAUGACAUCUGUUACUCUCUUGGUUGCCAAGGUUGGGUUGGCUGAUCUGGAAUGUCAAAAGAGGUCUCCUUCCUCCCUCACCCAUCUCGGUAAGCCUCCUUUGUCAACCAAGAGAAAGAGGUUGACCUUCUCAGCUCGAUGGGUGUAGGAUUUUGGUCAAGGGUAUAGGAGUAGCCAUGCCGCUCUGACAGAAAAGUGAAAGAAUUUCUCAGCAUUCUUAUCUGUCUUACCAGAAAUUACAUAGCAAGACAGAGAUGGAUCUGGGCUUGUCAUUUCCGGGUCU